GUAGCACAUCACAGGAACAUUUAGCUUUAUUUCUCCCAGACUCCAAAUUACUUCUUCAUAUAGGUAUGCUUCAUUUUAUUCAGCAGGACUACCUGGACUAUCUACUUCACAGGGCAAAUAUGAAAAUAAUCUGCUGUAAGGAGCUAAAUCUAGCUUGACGAGUUUGAGAUCAUCUUGAAAUAAUGUUGAAUAGAAAUAACGGACCUCUGGGAUCCAUCUUUGCUAUUUCACAUUUAAUGUAAAUAAGGUCUGCCUUAUUUCAUAAGAAUCAGGGCAUUAAAAUCAUAAUCAUUGUUCAACCUUUCAAGUCACUGACAGGAUGGGACAGGGAAUAAUGGAUAUCUGAGAAUCUUCAUAACACAGCUUCUGCAUUUUUCCCAGGAAUUACAGGAAGAGAGAUUUCUUUUGGCCUACCUGAUUCCUAUAAAACCAAGUACCAGAAAAGACAUCCUGAAGAAUAGCCCUUUGCAAUAAUAAAGACACUCCCAUGGUUAACCCACAGCUGCCCUCUUCCCUUUCCCCAACCAUACACCACCUCUUAUUAUUGUUUUUGUGAAUCAUAAACUGCCCUUUCUUUCACCACAGUGAUUCAUAGCCUGGAGCUGUGAUCUGAUGAGCUGUCCCACCCUGGUGCAUGGAACUUACAUCCAGGCUGGAAAAUGAGCAUCACAAGCAUGUGAUAGGCUUGUUUUCUAAUCUCUCUCUCACCCACUCAAUGCCUCUCUCCACUCGCCCAUCAUGUGAGCCCCAGCCUCAGCCCCAAGGACACUGGUAGACUGAGGCUUCCGCAGCAGCCAAAGAGCUCCCUCCUCUCUGACCCCAUGCUUACCAGGCUGAGCAAUGGAGGCGAAAAUCAAAACUCACAUUUUUGCCAGUGCAUACUCUGCAGCAGGAUGUCACCUCUUCUCUUUGAAGCAGACAGUUUGGCUUCUUUAAAGUUCCUCCUGCGUGGUGCUCUCCUACCACCAGUUCCACUGCUUGCUCAGAGGAUGUUUCCUCCACCUUUUUAAAAGGCCUGAGCUCCCUCUGUGAAGAGGGGUGGCGUCAUCACAUCCUCCCAACCACAAGCCCUGUACAUUUCCCUUUGGUGCAUGGGGCUCCUCACCCUACUUCGAGAUCCCUCCUGAGUCAGUGAAUGACCAGCCUUGGGCAAUGAGUCUCCAGCUAGGUCAGAACAUCAAGAAGGUCACUAGCAUGGACAAGGGAGAUGGAUGUGGAGGGGACUCCAAAAACUGGUGUGCAUGGUUUCCAGUGUCAUGCCUCAUUUUACCAAUGAGGAGCCUGGAAGACCCUCUGUAAGGGUUUGGGGAGGGGGUGGUUUGUAUUGAGUAUUAAACACUCAACAAGACUGAGUUAUCAUCACAACCCAAGCUCUCUCUGGCCUUCUGCUUAGGAGAAAUGCUAAUCCCUGGGGGUCACCCCAGCUCAACAGGAGGAAACACCUGUAGGCACUUCAAGCUUCACUAAACUUCACAAUGUUCCCAAUUCUUUUAAUACUGUCCUUCUGUUCCAUCCAUUUUGAAACAUAACAAGACCAUCAAAAAGAUGGUGACUUUCUGAGUAAUAAAAUGAGAUGGUUAGACAA